UACGUAGGGUGCGAGCGUUGUCCGGAAUUAUUGGGCGUAAAGCGCGUGUAGGCGGUCCGGUAAAUCCGCUGUGAAAAGUCGGGGGGCUCAACCCUCGGAUGCCGGUGGAUACUGUCGGGCUUGAGUACGGAAGGAGGCGAGUGGAAAUUCCUGGGUGUAGCGGUGAAAAUGCGCAGAUAUCAGGAGGAACACCAAUUGCGAAGGCAGCUCGCUGGGACGUUACUGACGCUGAGACGCGAAAGCGUGGGGAGCAAACAGG
rnacentral:rRNA from 1 species